rnacentral:rRNA from 1 species
AUGGCAAAGGCAUUCUACAUUAUAGUGGCUGCAGUCUUGCUAUGCCUCUUCUCCGCCGCAACGAUCUUGCUAUCCCCCUUGUCUGCUGCAACUUCCAUGCCACAUGCAUCUUCUUCAUCAUACAAGGAGUACAUCGUGUACAUCCAGAGGCCACCUCCAGAAGCCGAUAUCAUGGACGACGGUGCGCGCAAAAGCUGGUUCCAGUCUUUCCUCCCUAGCAACCUCACUGACUCGGGUAAACCACGCAUGGUCACCACUUUCGAUACCGUAUUUCACGGCUUCGUCGCCUGGUUAACUGAGGCUGAGCUGGAGGUCAUGUCCAAAAAGCCCGGUGUUAGCCGCUGUACCGAGGUUGAAAUGCUGGAAUUGAACCAGGUUGGGAUGAGGAAUAUACUUCAGGGAAGGGCUAUGGGUGGUGAUUGA